rnacentral:rRNA from 1 species
UAGGGAAUAUUGGUCAAUGGGUGAGAGCCUGAACCAGCCAUGCCGCGUGCAGGAAGAAGGCCUUCUGGGUUGUAAACUGCUUUUGCCGGGGGAUAAAAUGGCUUUGCGAAGCUAAUUGAAGGUACCCGGUGAAUAAGCCACGGCUAACUACGUGCCAGCAGCCGCGGUAAUACGUAGGUGGCAAGCGUUGUCCGGAUUUAUUGGGUUUAAAGGGUGCGUAGGCGGUUCUAUAAGUCAGUGGUGAAAUACUCCGGCUCAACCGGAGAGGUGCCAUUGAUACUGCAGAACUUGAGUACAGACGAGGUAGGCGGAAUUGACGGUGUAGCGGUGAAAUGCUUAGAUAUCGUCAAGAACACCGAUAGCGAAGGCAGCUUACUAGACUGUAACUGACGCUGAGGCACGAAAGUGUGGGGAUCAAACAGGAUUAGAUACCCUGGUAGUCCCUGAGCGGGCUGGCAAGGCGCAU